rnacentral:rRNA from 1 species
GUUGUUGCAGUUAAAACGUCCGUAGUCAAACUUUAGUCUUACCGGCGUAGUGGCCUAUUUUUGGGUAUCCAAAGGCUCAUUGCUGCCGGAGACUCCAUGUCCACCUCGACUCCUAGUCCUCGUGGCUAGGGUUUUCUGGACAAUUACCAUGAGCAAAUCAGAGUGUUUAAAGCAGGCUUUUAAGCUUGAAUGUGUUAGCAUGGAAUAAUGAAAUAUGACUUUAGUCCUAUUUUCGUUGGUUUAGGUACUUCAGUAAUGAUGAAUAGAAACGGUUAGGGGCAUUUGUAUUUGGUCGCUAGAGGUGAAAUUCUUGGAUUGACCGAAGACAAACUACUGCGAAAGCAUUUGACCCGGGACGUUUUCAUUGAUCAAGGUCUAAAGUUAAGGGAUCGAAGACGAUUAGAUACCGUCGUAGUCUUAACCACAAACUAUGCCGACUAGAGAUUGGGCGUGUUUAUUAUGACUCGCUCAGCAUCUUAGCGAAAGUAAAGUUUUUGGGUUCUGGGGGGAGUAUGGGACGCAAGGCUGAAACUUAAAGGAAUUGACGGAAGGGCACCACCAGGAGUGGAGCCUGCGGCUUAAUUUGACUCAACACGGGGAAACUCACCAGGUCCAGACAUAGUAAGGAUUGACAGAUUGAAAGCUCUUUCUAGAUUCUAUGGGUGGUGGUGCAUGGCCGUUCUUAGUUCGUGCAGUGAUUUGUCUGGUUAAUUCCGAUAACGAACGAGACCUUAUUCUGCUAAUUAGACAGGCUACUCUUCCGGGUUGGUUUAUAUUUAAUAUUUAACUGGCUUCUUAAAAGACUAUCGCCUUCAAGCCGAAGGAAGUUUUAGGCAAUAACAGGUCUGUGAUGCCCUUAGAUGUUCUGGG